rnacentral:rRNA from 1 species
AUUGAACGCUGGCGGCAUGCCUUACACAUGCAAGUCGAACGGCAGCACGGGUGCUUGCACCUGGUGGCGAGUGGCGAACGGGUGAGUAAUACAUCGGAACGUACCUUAUCGUGGGGGAUAACGCAGCGAAAGCUGUGCUAAUACCGCAUACGCCCUGAGGGGGAAAGCGGGGGAUCGCAAGACCUCGCGCGAUUAGAGCGGCCGAUGCCUGAUUAGCUUGUUGGUGGGGUAAAAGCCCACCAAGGCGACGAUCAGUAGCUGGUCUGAGAGGACGAUCAGCCACACUGGGACUGAGACACGGCCCAGACUCCGACGGGAGGCAGCAGUGGGGAAUUUUGGACAAUGGGGGCAACCCUGAUCCAGCAAUGCCGCGUGAGUGAAGAAGGCCUUCGGGUUGCAAAGCUCUUUUGUCAGGGAAGAAACACCGGCUCUAACACAGUCUGGGAAUGACGGUACCUGAAGAAUAAGCACCGGCUAACUACGUGCCAGCAGCCGCCGUAA